AGAGAUGUGGUUCUGUGGUAGGGUACUUGCCUAGCAUGCAUGAGUCCCUGGGUUCAAUCCCCAGGAUCACCA
rnacentral:tRNA from 1 species